GCGCCCGGGGCUGUGGGCGCUGCGCGGGUCGGGGCUCGCGCCGCGGCUGCCGUUGGCGGGAACGGGGCGGGGGCGGCGAGGCGAGGCGAGGCGGUAGCCGGGGCUGAAGCACGGGGCUGGAAGCUGCCCGGGGCGUUCGAAGAGCGAACGGCUCACUCCUCUCUGCGCUGCGUGUAGUCGCUCACCUCACGUCAGUUUGUGUCCCACUGUGACAGGAGUAAAUGCUUUUCUGAAAAGAUUCUUAGCGGUGACAGAGAUGGUAAAACAAAGACUGCAGUGAAACCCGUUUUCUCCCAGGAAAAGAUGAUCGGAAGAAGGAGGAUUCUGUGAAACUGAAGGCAUUUGUCAAGGACUGCGACUUGCUGCAAGACAAAAAUGCAACAUGUUUGGUAAAUGGAAGAAGACUGAAAAGGUUCAACAGAGUCAAGAGACUGCUGGAGGACUUUUUCUGCCACAGGCAACUGGGAGUGCUAAUGAUCGGAGAAACUUCAUAAAUGUCACUCACUCCUACCCAAUCUCUAGCAAAUGAUAUUCUAGCAAUCUCUAGAAAAAGGGCUCUGCUGACAGCAUGCAGGGCUAGUUGGACUGGAGAAGCUGAUUCCCAUCUCUUCAGAAAGGUAUUCUGCUGUAAGUUGGCACAUUCAGCUUUUUUCAUUAGUUACUCAGCUCGUGUUGUUGAAGGGAAGAUACUGAAAUUUUGUCAUAAGACUUGAUUAUGCAAAACAUUUACAAAGUGGAAGAAUGUUGUUCUUUGUAGGGCUGUCACAGUGAUCAGACUGAAGGGAAUAGAGCUGGUGGUUCUGCAUUCUAUGGGAUGAAAGGGUAUAGUAGAACCAACAAAACUCCUCAGCCCAUUAACUUACACUGCACACUAUCUCCUUUAUAGUGCUAUAGAAAUUCUUACUGAUGCUGACCAAACCUUUGUUCCGAUAGUAUUAGCUUGAAGCCCAAAAAUGUUUACAUUAUUCUUCUGUUUGUUGAUUUAUGAGAGACACUAACAUUGCAUACAGGCAAUCAAAAUGCUGACAACAUUUGUUUUGGGAUUUUCAAAUCUAGGAUGUCUCCUCUAAGCUUUCUCACAGUGAAGAGAAUUUAAGAUAAACCUAAAGUAAACAAAGAGCUGAGAUCUAGAGCAAAUGUUUCCUAAAAAUGAAUGAAUGCAUGAAGAAGAAAGGCUUGAGUGAAGAAGCAUGACAAGUGUGAGAAAGGAAACCUCACUUUCUUUAAGAUCCACUUACAUUAAAACUAUAUUUGGAAUUACCGUGAAAGAAGUUGCCUAAAAUAAGAUCCUUCCAAAGGAUUAGAUAGGAUGAAGAUCCAGAGGAUUGGGCUCUGACUCUGAGUUUCUAUUUCCAAAUACUUCUACGACUGCUUACACAUAACUGUAUUUGGGAGUUAUUUCCACGUUUACCAGAAUGCAUAGAAAAGUUGUCUUUUUUUGGCCAAGGAUAAAAGAAGCAGCUUUGAGGUGUUGCUCAAAACUCCACAUAUACACCAGUAAUUCAUUUAACCUAUCUCAGCUCAGCUUUGACAGUUAUAAAAUAACAUAAAGUCUAUUCCAUUGCAAUUUUGAAGGGCCUAAUACCAGCUGUAAAAUACCUUUUGGCUGCUCAGAUGAAACAAAGUUUCAUAAGAAAAGUUUCUUAGACAGCAUUGCUUUAAACUUUGCAUUAACGUAGCAAGAGAAAAGAACAUAAAGUUUUGAGUAUGUUUCAAUAUAUUGGAAUGGAAAAUUACUGUGCACAUUCUAAACUAAAAUAAAUGAUAGGUUAGUGCUGGACUUUUACCUAUGACAGAUAUAUGAUUUGACAGAAAAGUAUUAAGUUAGGAGUUAUCACUGUUAGACUGGUAGUUUGUGACAGCUGCCAGAAGGAUAAAUCGGUCUAAUUUGGUUGGUUCCUUCAGAUUUUCACCCCGUGUGUCUUGAAACAUGAGUGUGAGAUUAGAACAUCUCUAAACAGAGAUAAUACAUGUCAAGGUUCCAACAGCAACAUCUUAAUGGAGUUUAGACAACCCCUCUGUGUCCUUGACAAAAAUGGGCUAGUUUUGGUUAAUGCCAUGGAACUCAGUAGCACAACUCGAGCAGUUUAAGCACUCACAAUGUGUGACGCUUUCAGACUCACUGGCAAUGAUCCAAGCUGUUUAAUUAGUGAAUAUGCCCUGCUGGGCUUGACAGAAUGGUUGGUAGAUAUGCAACAACUUGGCCUGAACUGGCUUGUGGUCAUGCCAUUCAGCAAUGCUUAGCUGACUUGGAUUUAACAUUGAAGGGCUUACUAUUUGGAAAUCAUCUAGCAGAUCAUUCCUUAGAUCCAGAGGAGCCUCUGUUGAACACCUCAGGUGUAUUCUAAAUAAAAUCUUAAAUUUAUUGACGAUAGUAAGAUAGUAUUUGCAAGUAUAGCCGCCAUGCUCACCUACUGAGGCAGAUUCAAAUACAUAUGACAUAAAAAAAAAACCCAGCCAUUUGUCCUUGAGAACCAUUUGUCACUGUGACAGGUUUUGAUGCUGUUUAAGAACCCUUCUGUUAGCUGCUAUACUGUUGCUGCUGCUGUACUUCUAUUCUCCUUCCUAGUAAAAUAAUGAAUGAAAGUUAUCAGAAAUCACAAAUGUUUUAUAUAAGCAUAUCGUAAGAAUUAAAAAUAUUUUGUGUAACACUAACAGAGCUUUUAAAACUUGUGAAUGAUUAAUAGGAAUGUCAUGAUGGCACUCCUCUCCCCUUAGAGUGCUUGACAAAGUUUAAACACAGGCAGCAUCCUGGUUUAUAAACAGUCUAUUUACACUCUCUACUCAUCUUAAAAUAUCAUUUAAACACUUUGCGAGGUCUUUUUUCAGUAUCUAGUUUAGCUAUUUAAAAUACUGGAGUUUCCCACUAUGAAGAUUUCAUAGAAGAAAGACGUUUGCAAUCUAUACAGAUUAAAACGUUGCUUUUGUAGACGUCAGUAAAAACAUAGGUCACUUUGAAUUAUGAUUAUGUAAUUCAUACUACUUUCAUCUUUGAUUUAUGUGCAUUUCAGUACCCAAUUCUAUAGGAUGAAUUUCUCUUAUCACCCAUAAAACAUAUGCUGAAAUGCAUUUGACACAACUUUAUGUUAAACUGUGAGAGACUAAUUGUAUAUAUUAGCAGUAAUAUAGAAACUACAGCAGGAUGAUUAAGUCAACAAAAUUCUGUGAUAAAAUAAAACACCUUUCAGUGAUGUGACCCUUCA